rnacentral:lncRNA from 1 species
UUCUCAUUUUUUUUUAAAUUUUACCUUCUCAAAAUAAUGAAAAAAAACGUAAAGAAAACUCGAAACGCCGUUUCCCUGAAGAAGAACGGCUGCUUCUUUUACUCUUAAACGGCUUUUCUCUUCCUCCUUUUCGCAAAUCUCCUCUUCCCUUAAAGUGUCUUCUUUUUUCGCCCUUCUUCCUCCCCUCGCGUAAGGUAAAAUUCUUCCUUUGCUCUUUAAUAUUUUAAAUUUUCCAUUGAAUUUCUGUUUCUCUUAUUUCUACUAUUGCUAGAGGUAAAUCGCCUCUCUCUGAUUUCGUGAUUUCUCAUCUCUUUCUUAUUUUUGACAUUUAUUUGGUGUGUAUUCCUUGUGUCACUGUACCAAUAUUUUGGGUUUCUUCCGGAUAGAUUUAGUUUCAUCAAGUCAUGUAAAUCAAACUGAAUAAACGGAAGCCGCUUACAUAUUCUUUUUCGCCGCUUACAUAUUCUUUUUCGGACAAUGAAGUGAUAUUUUGUGCCUACUUUUUAGUCUUUUCUAAUGUUUUUGUAGUUCGUCAUGCUUUAGGAUUUGGGACUCUCAACAUGUAUGGCUACACAUCUUUUUUCCCCUUAAAUAUUUUGGUUAGUUUCAAAUAUUGCUUCAAACUGCAUAUUGUAUGUUAUGGGACUCAGCAUGUGUGGUCUGUAUUGUUAUUGGCCUAACAUUGAUCAGUUAAGACAAUCAUAAUCCACGAAAGAAGCGCAAGAGGAGUUCGAAGUGCAACAUAUUUACUAGGCCAAUUAUCAAUGAUAAUUGUUGUCUCCUAUGUAGAGGAUUGUACUACAAUAAUAUUUGUGGGUAAAUAUUGCUUAAUUUUCCUUUGCAGUGUAAUAAGGAUAACUAUUUUGCUUUUCUUUUACCCAAAUUGAUUUUCUGAUGAUUAAUUGUGUGUUCACCUUCUUCAGGCUUUGCCUAUGUCCCAUGUUGUUUGUUCUUUGUGAUAAGCUUCUAUUUCUUAAAUAGUUUUAGUGUGAUUUUCUUUGAACUGUAUGGUGUGAAUAUGACUUUGCUUUUUUGAAUUUGCUGUAGCUUCUAAGAGUUCUCGACUAUCUGAUCCUCUAAUCCUUAUUAUGGCUAUGACAUAAUUGGCUUUCAUGAUAUUCUCUUUCCAGGUUUGCCGAUUUCAUCCAAGUUCAAUAAAAGAGUGACCUUUAGUUUGGUGCAACUUUACGGAUUCAUAUCUCUUUGCAUAUAAUUUCUUUUAUUAAUAAGGACUUACCAUGGUCUACAUAUUUAAGGGAGAAAAAACAAAAGAAAAAUAUGUAUACAAAACUUGAAAUAGCUUCCAUUAGCUUUUACUUGAACUCAAAAAGCAACUAAAACUUCACUGACAUAAAUGCAGCUGCACUAGAAGCCAAAACCAUUGUCAAAUUGAAAAUAUAAUGUCUUAGUUUUUUUUCUUACCUUCAUAAAAUGUCAAGUGUUAUUUAUUUGACAAAAAAAAUUGUAGGAACCAGUAUAGCUUGUCAGAUGAAGCUCCUAUUCAAGUUAUAUUAUCUUUUGUCUAUGUAUUAUUGAUUCCUUUUGUUGUAAGGAAGAGAUAAUAUGUAGUACAUAAAAAUAGUUUUUUGACAUAAAGAUUGAAGUAGGACACCUAUUAGAUAACACUGGAAUUUUUUCUUUCAAGGUGUACAUCUUAAUCUUGGUUAUUUAGUUACUAAGCCAUGCCAACUUUUGUAAACGAAGAUGAGGCAGAAUGAUACUGUUGAAUUGAUGAGAGAAUUCCUUGAUGCUGUGUUAAUGGCUAU